rnacentral:rRNA from 1 species
GGGAGGAAAAGAAACUAACAAGGAUUUUCUUAGUAGCGGCGAGCGAAAAGAAAAUAGUUCAGCACUAAGUCACUUUGUCUUUAUGGCAAAUGUGAGAUGCAGUGUAUGGAAUGUCAAAUUUCUAGUAUGAGAAAUUAACGAUUUAAGUCCUUCUUAAAUGAGGCCAUUUACCCAAAGAGGGUGCCAGGCCCGUAUAACGUUAAUGAUUACUAGAUGGCAUUUCCAAAGAGUCGUGUUGCUUGAUAGUGCAGCACUAAGUGGGUGGUAAACUCCAUCUAAAACUAAAUAUAACCAUGAGACCGAUAGUAAACAAGUACCGUGAGGGAAAGUUGAAAAGAACUCUGAAUAGAGAGUUAAAUAGUACGUGAAACUGCUUAGAGGUUAAGCCCGAUGAACCUGAAUAUCCGUUAUGGAAAAUUCAUCAUUAUGAUUGUAAUAUUAAUAAUAUUAAAAUAAUGGUGUGCAUUUUUUCUAUAAAGGACAUUGUAACCUAUUAACAUAAAAAUAUUUAUCACAAGAUCGUUGGCUUAAGUUUAUUCGAAUUAUUUUGCUUGCAAUUUAAUACAGAAUAAAUGCUUUCGAUUUGAUAAAGUGUUGAUAGAUUUAUUAUAAUAUAGUGCUUAAAUAUUUAUAUUUUAUAAUAGCAUAUUAAUCAUUGAUUUUUAUGUUUAUUAUAUGCACUUAUAUGAUUAACAAUGCGAAAGAUUCAGGAUACCUUCGGGACCCGUCUUGAAACACGGACCAAGGAGUCUAACAUAUUUGCAAGUUAUUGGGAAUGAAAACCUAAUAGCGAAAUUAACAUAACUUAAUUAUGGGAUUAGUUUUUAGCCUAUUUAUAGUCUAUUAAUUCAAUCCCGGGGCGUUCUAUACAGUUAUGUAUAAUAAUAUUUAUAUUAUUUAUACCUCUAACUAGAGCGUACCUUGAGCAUAUAUGCUGUGACCCGAAAGAUGGUGAACUAUACUUGAUCAGGUUGAAGUCAGGGGAAACCCUGAUGGAAGACCGAAACAG